ensembl:snRNA
GUGUUGUAUGAAAGGAGAGAAGGUUAGCACUCCCUUUGACAAGCGUGGCUCUCAGGCCUGACAACACGCAACAAGCAUUUAUAAAGUUAUGAUAAUUUAAACACUAUUGAUUUAA